AUGGCCUUGUAGCCGUGUGGUCCACAAAAAGGUCCCACACAUUGUGUGGCCAAUUUUAAUUGGUCCAACACAUUGUGUGGGCCAAAGGUAAUAGAGAUAUUUUGGGGGCUUAAAAGAUGACCCUUAAGUCAUCUUUUCUCAUUUCCACUUCAACACUAGAGAGAGAGAAAAAUCAAGACCUUGGAGAGCAAUACUCCCUCCAACCUCACGGCUUGGACCAUGGAAAUUCAAGUCCAAGUUUUGCCUCUCUAAAAUUAAUUCUUGGGUACAAACCCACUAUUUUGAGGUCCCUAAGUAGCGUGGAGGUGUCGUUGGAGCGAUCAAGUCCUUCAUUCAAGAGAUUGCAAACCCUAACCCAUUUGUGGAAUUGAAGGAGAAAGACCUUGGGGAGCCCGAGGCGUAGAUUGGGAUUUACUUAGAUUGGCUAUCUUGGAGUGCGUUCGAGGUACAGAUGCGCAGUUUGGUGAUCCACCAGUUUAGGACAUCAUCCUUUGCUGUUCGGAGUGCUCUUCUCACUUCAGAGCAUAUGUUUUGGUAUACAGUUUCGUUCGUUGUGUAUGUAUUUGUUCAGGGGUACGGCGGGGCCCUGUCCCGCCAUAUGAUUCGGUUGGUUUGUUUAGAGGUCUAUAGACGUAUUUGUGGGUGUGUGUGCCUACUUCUGUUCCGAUGUGUUUGUAUGAUUCUAUUCGUUAUGGCAGCCUUGUCGGCGUGCAUUUGUAUCUGUGUUUUGGGCCGUUGUGCCAUUUGACAGCCUUGUCGGCUUUUGACAUAUUUGACAGCCUUGUCGGCUUUUUGGACAUAUUUGAUAGCCUUGCCGGCUUUUCGAUAUAUGUAUAUGCUUAUGUUUGUGUCA